CUGAGAAUAAACCACGAUAGGUCACGAUUUCUGGAAUGGAUCAUGGCCUAUAUCUACAUGGCCCCUGGAUUGGACUGCGGCCGAUCAGGCAGUCGGUGAGGUAAUGGCCCACCAAACCUAUAACCGGUACGGGCUCUGAGAGGAGAAGCCCGGAGAUGGGCACUGAGACAAGGGCCCAGGCCCUAUGGGGCGCAGCAGGCGCGAAACCUCUGCAAUAGGCGAAAGCCUGACAGGGUUACUCUGAGUGAUUUCCGCUAAGGGGAUCUUUUGGCACCUCUAAAAAUGGUGCAGAAUAAGGGGUGGGCAAGUCUGGUGUCAGCCGCCGCGGUAAUACCAGCACCCCGAGUGGUCGGGACGAUUAUUGGGCCUAAAGCAUCCGUAGCCGGUUCUGCAAGUCUUCCGUUAAAUCCAGCCGCUCAACGGAUGGGCCGCGGAGGAUACUAUAGGACUAGGAGGCGGGAGAGGCAAGCGGUACUCAGUGGGUAGGGGUAAAAUCCUUUGAUCCAUUGAAGACCACCAGUGGCGAAGGCGGCUUGCCAGAACGCGCUCGACGGUGAGGGAUGAAAGCUGGGGGAGCAAACCGGAUUA
rnacentral:rRNA from 1 species